rnacentral:rRNA from 1 species
AUUAGAGUUUGAUCAUGGCUCAGGAUAAACGCUGGCGGCGCACAUAAGACAUGCAAGUCGAACGAGAGUGAUAUGUAUUGUUUACAUUACAUAUUACUUUAGUGGCGGACUGGUGAGUAAUAUAUAAGUAACCUACCUAAUAGAGUGGAAUAACAGUGAGAAAUCAUUGCUAAUACCGCAUAUGCUCCCGCUAUUGCAUGAUAGCGAGAGGAAAGGAGAAAUCCGCUAAUAGAUGGACUUAUAUCUGAUUAGCUAGUUGGAGUGGUAAAGGCACACCAAGGCAACGAUCAGUAGCCGAGUUGAGAGACUGAACGGCCACAUUGGGACUGAGAUACGGCCCAGACUCCUACGGGAGGCAGCAGUCGGGAAUAUUGCGCAAUGGAGGAAACUCUGACGCAGUGACGCCGCGUAUAGGAAGAAGGUUUUCGGAUUGUAAACUAUUGUCGUUAGGGAAGAGAAAGGACAGUACCUAAGGAGGAAGCCCCGGCUAACUAUGUGCCAGCAGCCGCGGUAAUACAUAGGGGGCGAGCGUUAUCCGGAAUUAUUGGGUGUAAAGGGUGCGUAGACGGGUUAACAAGUUAGUUGUGAAAUCCCUUGGCUUAACUGAGGAAUUGCAACUAAAACUAUUAGUCUUGAGUGUUGGAGAGGUAAGUGGAAUUCCUAGUGUAGCGGUGAAAUGCGUAGAUAUUAGGAGGAACACCAGUGGCGAAGGCGACUUACUGGACAACAACUGACGUUGAGGCACGAAAGUGUGGGGAGCAAACAGGAUUAGAUACCCUGGUAGUCCACACUGUAAACUAUGGAUACUAGGUGUAGGAGGGGAUUACCCUUUCUGUGCCGUCGCAAACGCAGUAAGUAUCCCACCUGGGGAGUACGGCCGCAAGGUUGAAACUCAAAGGAAUUGACGGGGGCCCGCACAAGCAGUGGAGUAUGUGGUUUAAUUCGAAGCAACGCGAAGAACCUUACCAGGGCUUGACAUGCAAGUGAAUACUGUAGAGAUACAGUAGCUCUUCGGAGCACUUGUGCAGGUGGUGCAUGGUUGUCGUCAGCUCGUGUCGUGAGAUGUUGGGUUAAGUCCCGCAACGAGCGCAACCCCUGUGAUUAGUUGCCAGCACGUAAUGGUGGGAACUCUAAUCAGACUGCCGGUGAUAAAUCGGAGGAAGGUGGGGACGACGUCAAAUCAUCAUGCCCUAUAUGUCCUGGGCUACACACGUACUACAAUGGCCGUUACAGAGGGAAGCGAAGUAGCGAUACUAAGCGAAACCCAAAAAGCGGUCUCAGUUCGGAUUGAAGGCUGAAAUUCGCCUUUAUGAAGCCGGAAUUGCUAGUAAUUGCAGGUCAGCAUACUGCAGUGAAUACGUUCCCGGGCCUUGUACACACCGCCCGUCACACCAUGAGAGUUGGGGAUACCCGAAGCCUGUGAGCUAACCCGGCCACUAUGUGCAUAUAUUGGAAGAAGUAUAUAACUAAAGUAGAGAAAAUAUUAGAAGUAAGAAGAUAUAUGUAGAUAGUAGCCGGGAGGCAGCAGUCGAAGGUAGAAUCAAUGAUUGGGGUGAAGUCGUAACAAGGUAGCCGUAAAUC